rnacentral:rRNA from 1 species
UACGAGGGGGGCAAGCGUUGUUCGGAAUUAUUGGGCGUAAAGGGCGCGUAGGCGGUCUGACAAGUCUGAUGUGAAAUCUCUGGGCUCAACCCAGAGUCUGCAUUAGAAACUGUCGGGCUUGAGUAUGGGAGAGGUGCGUGGAAUUUCCGGUGUAGCGGUGAAAUGCGUAGAUAUCGGAAGGAACACCUGUGGCGAAAGCGGCGCACUGGACCAUAACUGACGCUGAGGCGCGAAAGCUAGGGGAGCAAACAGG